rnacentral:lncRNA from 1 species
GGUUUCUAUAACUACAGAUUUUUAUUCCUAUGAAUGAUGAGGGAGCACAUUGGUUUUUGGUGGUUGUUGAUUUUAGUGAAAGAAAAGUUUUUUGGUUGGACUCUUUACCUACAGAUGAAAGAUAUCAUCAUAGACGUCAUUCAAUUAUUAGAUUGGUAUGCAUGUGAUCUAUACUUUGUUUUACAUCCAAAUUUAUUGUUUGCUUUUUAAGAAUUGCUAAUUUUAUAUUUACUAUUGUGGCAGGUUGUCAAGCUUGAGGAAAUCCUGCUUCUUCCUUCUUUUGUAAAUGUUGUCAAUCUAGUUGGUCGUGAUAACCUAAUCACAAACUUCACAAAGAUUGAACCUACGUGCCUCCCGCAUCAGCGACCUAGAUCGUAAGUAUUAUUAACCCCUAUCUUUAUUUAUUAUUUAUUUAUUAUUUUACUUAAACUACCUUUUAGUGUGAUACU